CCCUUGAGGCGUGGCUUCCGGAGCUAACGCGUUAAAUCGACCGCCUGGGGAGUACGGCCGCAAGGUUAAAACUCAAAUGAAUUGACGGGGGCCCGCACAAGCGGUGGAGCAUGUGGAUUAAUUCGAUGCAACGCGAAGAACCUUACCUGGUCUUGACAUCCACAGAACUUUCCAGAGAUGGAUUGGUGCCUUCGGGAACUGUGAGACAGGUGCUGCAUGGCUGUCGUCAGCUCGUGUUGUGAAUUGUUGGGUUAAGUCCCGCAACGAGCGCAACCCUUAUCCUUUGUUGCCAGCGGUCCGGCCGGGAACUCAAAGGAGACUGCCAGUGAUAAACUGGAGGAAGGUGGGGAUGACGUCAAGUC
rnacentral:rRNA from 1 species